UACGGAGGGUGCAAGCGUUAUCCGGAUUCACUGGGUUUAAAGGGUGCGUAGGUGGGUUGGUAAGUCCGUGGUGAAAUCUCCGAGCUUAACUCGGAAACUGCCGUGGAUACUAUCAAUCUUGAAUACUGUGGAGGUAAGCGGAAUAUGUCAUGUAGCGGUGAAAUGCUUAGAUAUGACAUAGAACACCGAUAGCGGAGGCAGCUUGCUACACAGUCAUUGACACUGAGGCACGAAAGCGUGGGGAGCAAACGGG
rnacentral:rRNA from 1 species